rnacentral:rRNA from 1 species
AUUGAACGCUGGCGGAAUGCUUUACACAUGCAAGUCGAACGGUAGAGGGGGCAACCCCUCGAGAGUGGCGAACGGGUGAGUAAUAUAUCGGAACGUGCCCAGUCGUGGGGGAUAACGUAGCGAAAGUUACGCUAAUACCGCAUACGAUCUAAGGAUGAAAGCGGGGGAUCGCAAGACCUCGCGCGAUUGGAGCGGCCGAUAUCAGAUUAGGUAGUUGGUGGGGUAAAGGCUCACCAAGCCAACGAUGUGUAGCUGGUCUGAGAGGACGACCAGCCACCCUGGAACUGAGACGCGGUCCAGACUCCUACAGGAGGCAGCAGUCGGGAAUUUUGGACGAUGGACGCAAGUCUGAUCCAGCCAUUCCGCGUGCAGGAUGAAGGCCCUCGGGUUGUAAACUGCUUUUGUACGGAACGAAAAGGUCUCUCUUAAUACGGGGGGCUCAUGACGGUACCGUAAGAAUAAGCACCGGCUAACUACGUGCCAGCCGCCGCCGUAA